ACAAGCAUUUCCUGGAAUCUCACAAGAAAUUCAGACUUGUCCCGGUUAAACAGAUCUUUCUAGAGAUAUUUUCACUAGCUUUCUCUGCCGAAGGGUUAUGCGCAUUGGACAUUCAACUUUAAUAAAAUCUUCAGUUAGUGUGUGAUUCCUGAAGACGAUCAGCAAUGACAUGAUGUAUGGGAUGUGCCUGGUCAUUGGUGUUGAAAAUGAAGCUCUGCUAUUGGCUGCUGUUGUGUGCGUUGACAGCCACCUGCCACUCAACAGUACUGGAACCUAAAGCUCUGAAGAGGAUUGUAGAAGACUUUCUCAGUGUAGCUGGACCCACUAGGACUGGAUUCAAACAGUUCUCAUUCCUCAUGGCUCUAACUCCACAGGAGUGUCAAAAUGGCAAAGUGACUUACAGACCGCAGGGACCUGUUAUUAACAACAAUUUUGAACCGACUCCAUCGAAGAAUCCAAAUUACAUUUCUGCCUACCCCGAUUACACAGCAGAUGAUGAGAAUCAGAAAAGAUGCACUGAAUAUAAACUGUUAUUUCCCUCCAAGUCGCAAAAGCAAAGCCCUGCAAAGAUGUUUGAACAGAUCGCUAAUAGUAAAGUCCUCAGACCUAAUGGUGGUUGUGUGAUAUUUUUCACCACAAACACCCCGUGUACAAAUAAAUGUUUUAGCGGAGAUGAAAACUGUGAUAUUAGUAAACCUCUAGGGGAGAAUCCAUUUCAAAACUGGGGCAAAGAAAGUAAGUCUGUGCAUCAGUAUUUCGUUUACAUGCAGCAGUACAGAUAUGAUAUAACCGAUACAAAUGCCAUUAUCGAGAAAUUUAAGAAUCUUGCUAACAUGCACUUUAGAAUUAGCAGGUGUUACAAAGAGAACAAUGUGCUUCAGUGUAAAACUGACUGCAACAGCAACCCGAAAUUUUGCCUUUAAAAUAUUUUUUUAAAUUUUUUUUUAAAGAUAAAAACCGAGCACUAUAUCUAAUGUGAUUCCUCUUGGGCGCUGUCAUCUUGCGCUGGCACCAUGUGUGCUUUUCAAAGGUAUAGUUUAUCUGCUAGAUGAUUAACUAACUCUGCUUUGUUAACCAGCCUUACAGAAAAAUAGUAUACUGAAAAUGUACUUGAAUCAAAAUAGUUUUGUUUAAACACAGUGUGUCUGUAAUCCUGCUCCUGAAAGCCCCCCUAUCCUAUCUAAUACAGUGUGUCUGUAACCCUGCUCCUGGAGGCCCCCCGCCCCCCCUCAAUCAAUGUGCUUUCAACCUUUGUUCAUGUAAUUCUUUUGCAGCGCUUUCAAUAAACAUAUCCAAAUAAA